rnacentral:rRNA from 1 species
UGGGGAAUAUUGCACAAUGGGGGAAACCCUGAUGCAGCGACGCCGCGUGAACGAAGAAGGUAUUCGUAUCGUAAAGUUCUGUCCUAUGGGAAGAUAGUAACAGUACCAUAGAAGAAAGCUCCGGCUAAAUACGUGCCAGCAGCCGCGGUAAUACGUAUGGAGCGAGCGUUGUCCGGAAUUAUUGGGCGUAAAGGGUACGCAGGCGGUUUAAUAAGUCGAAUGUUAAAGAUCGGGGCUCAACCCCGUAAAGCAUUGGAAACUGAUAAACUUGAGUAGUGGAGAGGAAAGUGGAAUUCCUAGUGUAGUGGUGAAAUACGUAGAUAUUAGGAGGAAUACCAGUAGCGAAGGCGACUUUCUGGACACAAACUGACGCUGAGGUACGAAAGCGUGGGGAGCAAACAGG